rnacentral:tRNA from 1 species
UAGCUCAGUGGUAGAGCAUUUGCCUUGCAUGCAUGAGGCCCUGGGUUCAAUUCCUCAG